AGAAAGAUUGCGGAGUGGUAAACCACUAGACUCGCAAUCGAGAAGAUGUGGGUUCGAAUCCCAGUCCGGCUU